AGACGUCUACAUUAGAUACCCCGGUAGUCCUAGCCGUAAACGAUACUCGCUAGGUGUCGGCCACGGUGCGACCGUUGUCGGUGCCGUAGGGAAGCCGUGAAGCGAGCCACCUGGGAAGUACGGCCGCAAGGCUGAAACUUAAAGGAAUUGGCGGGGGAGCACCACAACGGGUGGAGCUUGCGGUUUAAUUGGAUUCAACGCCGGAAAUCUUACCGGGACCGACAGCAACAUGAAGGCCAAGCUGAAGACUUUGCCGGAUUAGCUG
rnacentral:rRNA from 1 species